rnacentral:tRNA from 1 species
GCGCCCGUAGCUCAAUGGCGGAGCGUCGAGCUUAUACCUCGAAGGUUCUUGGUUCGAGUCCAAGCGGGCGCA